CACAAGGAAAGUGUUUCACGUCGUCAUUAAGCAAAAUGCAUCAAGUGAAGCCAAAAAUCAUGAUGUUGUGAAUUCCACUAGAGAUUACAAGAUACGACGAAUGUAAACAGUUUACAAGUUGUUCGAAAUUUAAAUAUUUAACAUUAUCCUAAUAUGAAUUUCCUCUCCUGCCAGGAAGCAGAGAAAAACGAGGAGAUCCAGCUUCAGGAACUCAUAAUAGAGCCGGAGGCAACGAAAUAUCCAUGGAGGUUUCUGUGCUUUGCUCUCACCUUUCACUAGUCUCUAUAAACACACUAUGAAGAGAACACAUGUAAAACUCUGACUUACCUCUCAGGUCCGAGUGUUGUGGUGGAGUUGUCUCGCAGGCUGCCUGAGUGAAAAUGUACAAAAAGUAGCCUAUGAAGACGGAAGUGACACAUCUGGUUAGGAAAGCAGGGCACACUUUAAACCAACCGGGGUUUCAAGUGUUUGAGCAAGUCGCUUCUUGUUGGAAGUAACACGUAGUUGCCACAUCUGAGAAAUCCCUCCCUUGGGAAAUAUGUGUGCUGCACUGUUAUUCACCUCCUCUGACAAGGACGGGGGACGUUAACUGUUCAAACAUUAAUAUGACACAAGAUACAAAUAUGGGACUGAACCUCAGCAGUCUGGGGACAACUGGUCUAGAGUCUGGCUGCCCACGGGCCAAACCUGUACACGCUUGUACAUACGUGUAUACAUGAGUAUGCACGUGUACGCACAUAGCUGCUGAAUAAAGAAAAUGCUGAAUCCAAA